ensembl:lincRNA
AGACAGUGACCUCCUCACAGGUCCGGGAGCACCAGCAAACGGCAGCCUCUGAGAGCCCAGCCCCCCUCCUCUCCAAUUCUUGAUGGGAGGCCUUGGGGCCCUGUUCUAUGAGCUAAAAUCCAUGUCUGUGCCAUUGUGGCCAGCCAUCUCUUGGUGGCUAGCAGCAGGGCUCAUUGGCUUCCAAGUUUGCUCCAGGCCUGAGGCACAAUGGAGAAAGGAAAGGGAGUGUCCAGAAAAGGCCGGAAGCUGGCAUCCAGCCGGCGGAGGCAGGCACGAGAGCCAGCUGACGGUCAGGAUGCCCCUGUGGCCCUGGAGACUGAGUCCUGGCCCUCUGAUGCUGAUGCGGAGCUUCAGGGCUUCUU